rnacentral:misc_RNA from 1 species
UAAAUAACAAUCGGUAUGUUGCUUUUGUAACAUCUCGGAGUUGGGUCGUCUUAAUUUUUUUAAGGGACCUAAAAUUUAAAGUACUUGUGUAUUUUCGACGUGUAUAAUUUUUUAUCUCGUCACCGAAUGCCAUGUUUUAUUAGGUGUGACUAUGUUAAGUGGUUUCAUACCUAUAGGAUUUUUGAUU